rnacentral:rRNA from 1 species
CUCAAGGGACCUCAGCAGUGAUAAAUAUUAAGCCAUAAGUGAAAACUUGACUUAGUUAAGGUUAAGAGGGCCGGUAAAACUCGUGCCAGCCACCGCGGUUAUACGAGAGGCCCAAGUUGACAAACAACGGCGUAAAGAGUGGUUAGGGGAUUUACUAAACUAGAGCCGAACGCUUUCAAAGCUGUUAUACGCACCCGAAAGUAUGAAACCCAAUUACGAAAGUAGCUCUACUUAUCCUGAACCCACGAAAGCUAAGGAACAAACUGGGAUUAGAUACCCCACUAUGCUUAGCCCUAAACAUCGAUUGCACAAUACACUCCAUAUCCGCCCGGGGAUUAUGAACGUCAGUUUAAAACCCAAAGGACUUGGCGGUGCUUAACAUCCACCUAGAGGAGCCUGUUCUAGAACCGAUAACCCCCGUUAAACCUCACCCUCUCUUGUUUUAUCCGCCUAUAUACCACCGUCGUCAGCUUACCCUGUGAAGGAUUUACAGUAAGCAAAAUUGGCACAGCCCAAAACGUCAGGUCGAGGUGUAGUGAAUGAGGGGGGAAGAAAUGGGCUACAUUUGCUAAACAUAGCAAACACGAAUGUUGCAUUGAAACAUGCAGCUGAAGGAGGAUUUAGCAGUAAGCAGGAAAUAGAGCGUCCCGCUGAAACUGGCCCUAAAGCGCGCACACACCGCCCGUCACCCUCCCCAAGCAUCCUGAAUAAACCUAAUUAAAAGCCAACAGACCGCGA